UCUGUGCAGCUGAACAAAUUUGGUCUUUGGUUGGCAAUGGUGAGUGACAUCUGAUCCAGCUGGAGUCAGUCCUACCUGUCAACUUGAAAAAUGACAGAGAAUGGAGAUUCCCUGCUGACAUUCAAGGGAAAACAUGGCAUCUGCUCGUAUUUAUACUAUUAUUUCUGCUUUAUGUUUGUAUAGCUAUUUGUUUCUGUAAAAUGUUGAUGCUUUGUCCCAUAAUGCAAAUCUGGUACUGAUCUCCUGUUUGAUGCUUGACAUCAUAAUCUAAGUAGUUACUGGAUAUGUUUAUGCAUUUGACUUGUGUGCCAAUAUAUGAUGUAGGUGCAUAGAGGUGUGGGGCAGUGCAAUUACAUCUUCAUCAAAACUCUCAAUGGAGUAUUACCAAUCUAACCUCUUGACUCAGGCUGAAUUAAAAGGAAACUGAAAAUGCUUUAAGAGCACUAGAAAUAUGAGUUUUGUCCUUUUCUAGAAGGCACUGUAAGCUUUUAAAAUCUUGUCUUUCAGAGGCUCAGAUUAUCUGCCUAGCACUUUGAGUACCGCAACUGAUAAUUGGAAUUUUGUUUUGUUUGGAAACUUGUAAAUAUUUACUUUACUUCCUGCUGUUUUAAUAGGUUUCUUCUCAUGUUCAGUCAUCCACAUUUAUUUAUAUUAUUAUUUGUCAAAGCAGAAUGUUCAGACAAGUUCACGAGAGGUAGGAAACAAUUCUGAGACUUGCUUCAAAUCCAGACUUUGGUAUGGAUGAUCUUUCUGUCUUGGUUCAGCUAUUGAUCAUUGAGUGUGCAAGUGAUAAGCAGUGUUCCUGCAGACUGAUAAUUGGGAGCACAUCUGAAAGGAAAUGCAGAAAUGGCUGUUGGCCUGUGGUAAGAAAUGCAUUUUGAAGUGAUGGAAGAUUCCCUUAUAAAUACUGAUAUGGACUGCACUUUAAGGAAUGUGUGCUCCCAAAAGAAAAUUCAGAAGUUUUUGACACAAGAGUCUGUGUUGAACUGUUUGCUACCUACAACCAGAAGGGGCAGCCUGAAGACAGUCUGGGGCCAUAGGAUAUAUGUAUUCUGCAAAGUAGAGGGAAGAAUUUGUAGGAAGCCACUCUUCCCCAGUUCUUCCACAUAGACUCUUAGCAGGCUGGAUUUUUUUUUACAAUGAAGUCAUCUAUAUGGCUGUUCUUUCUGUUUGUGCUAUCAUACAUGGCUUGCAGAUUGUGAAGAUAGAGACAUGGGAACAGGCUAAUACGAAUGCCUGGGAAUAGAAGAUAAUACAGAUUUUACCUUUCUCAAUGCUAAUUCUCUGGCUCUGCAUCUUGGCAGAUCCAUAAAAGGUUGUAUUUUAAGACUUCUGAGUCUAAAAUAAAGGUGUUGAAGAACAGUGUUUUAACA
rnacentral:lncRNA from 1 species